UCGUCAUUAUCUGACAUUAUCUGACACAAGGUUUCACCUUACUGUAGCACUCGAAGAAGUGAGCAGCUGUCCUGUAUUUUGCGCAGGAACACAAAUGCCGAUGAAGAAACUAGGCCAGCUAUCUUUUUCUCCCUGACUGACAUACAUCGUUCGCACCCAUAUUGUUGGAUAAGAGUCAUACGCAGACAGGCGCUGGAUUGAACAUGAUUGGGGCCUCCCUGUUUCUGAUCCUCACAGCAGUGCUUGUCACCGCACUGGGUGAAACCAUAAUUGUUCAAACGGGAUCAUCGGAUUCAACGAAUGUAAUAGUCCCAUCAUCAGGCUCUGGGUCCACAAUUGUCAUCAAACAAGAGCCACCGAAAGUGAUUGUAAUUAACAACGAGCCAUCUCCUAUCAUCGUGCAAGUUCGAUGAUCGUUAUGGAGUCUCGUGGAGACGACUUUGAUCCAGUCACAGGAAGAUGCCGGCACUCCGGACUGCACCACGGUGAACAUGAUGCAGGAACGACAGAGAGAUCACAAAGCAAAGACUCCCUUGAGUGCACUUUACCCCUAUGAUGGAAGAGACAUUCCACCGUCUAAAGUUUUGAAGCUGUUAUAAUGGACAUGGCGUUUUUUAACUGCAUGUACAAUUGACCUGAUAACAUCGGCUUUAGAUAAAUGUCCAAUAUUUGAUGGCAGUGUGACACCAAGUUGUUUUAACAGUUGGAAACAUCUCUAGGUAUAGGCCAAUGAUAAAGUUUUCAAAACGAACAGCUGUAUGAUAGACAUUUUGGCGUCGUCUACUAGUUGCGUAACGUUAGAAAGGGCGGUCUAAUUUUUCUAUCUGUGCCGACAACUAUUUUUGCCCCCAUACCACUUUGCUGCCUUCGCUCAUAUAUCUAACGCGAAACAUACGAAACAUAGCAGUGAAGCUCUCUCAUGAAUUGUGGUUCUUGCCGGUCACGCGAAAGGCCCAUGCCGCCACAUACGAGCUUGUGGCGAAUUUCACUGCUUAAUUUCGAGCAGUUCUCACUCAUCGGAAAGAACAAGGCCUACACUUGGUCGAUUAGAUGUAGAAGUGAUAUAUUAGUGAUAGAUACGACUCAUCGUGAUUUUAUUUAAUCAAAUCUUUAUGCAAUCUGAAUCGUGAAACGAAAAAUUUUCGAUCCUAAUUGAACAGUAAAUUCAUUAUCAUGGAGGCGGCCCAGAACUCCCCUCUGUAUGCUGCGAGGAAUCGUUUUGCGUUCUCAAGCAAAAUAACUAAAUAUGUUGCCAGGAUCUUAAUUUACACAAAUCGCAAUAUCGGGGAACUUUAUAACCAGCUGAGCUCCAUCUUGGUUAGAUUCCCUGCAUUUCAUUUAUCCUUUUCUUCUUUCUCUGUCUCGAUAAUAGUUACACAUGAUUAGCACUUUCAUUUAUAAUGUUAGCUAAAGCUUAUUUAUACCUUUUGCUAACUAAAUAAAAGA